rnacentral:tRNA from 1 species
GGAACAGUAGUGUAGUAGGUCUGCACGUUGGUUUGAAGCACCAGAGGUAUCCGUUCGAUUCGGGUCUGUUCCA